UUUAAAGAGAGUUUGAUCCUGGCUCAGGACGAACGCUGGCGGCGUGCCUAAUACAUGCAAGUCGAACGAACGGAGGAAGAGCUUGCUCUUCCAAAGUUAGUGGCGGACGGGUGAGUAACACGUGGGCAACCUGCCUGUAAGUUGG
rnacentral:rRNA from 1 species